rnacentral:rRNA from 1 species
AGUGAACGCUGGCGGUAGGCCUAACACAUGCAAGUCGAACGGCAGCACAGUAAGAGCUUGCUCUUACGGGUGGCGAGUGGCGGACGGGUGAGGAAUACAUCGGAAUCUACUUUUUCGUGGGGGAUAACGUAGGGAAACUUACGCUAAUACCGCAUACGACCUACGGGUGAAAGCAGGGGCUCUUCGGACCUUGCGCGAUUGAAUGAGCCGAUGUCGGAUUAGCUAGUUGGAGGGGUAAAGGCACACCAAGGCGACGAUCCGUAGCUGGUCUGAGAGGAUGAUCAGCCACACGGGAACUGAGACACGGUCCAGACUCCGACGGGGGGCAGCAGUGGGGAAUAUUGGACGAUGGGCGCAAGCCGGAUCCAGCCAUACCGCGUGAGUGAAGAAGGCCUUCGGGUUGUAGAGCCCUUUUGUUGGGAGAGAAAAGCAGCAGGUUAAUACCCGGCUGUUCUGACGGUACCCAAAGAAUAAGCACCGGCUAACUUCGUG